CAUGGGAUCCGCCGUUUUUCAAAGGGGACCCAAAAAAUAUGUCACCUUUUGCUUCAUGAGCACAACAUAGAACACCUAAGAUCUAGAGCUUGAAGCAAAAUCGGCAGCAUCUCCUUAACAAGGGAGAGCUCACCUUUAAUUCCCUAAGAAGCUUCAGCCAUUACCCAUAUAUCCCCAUCUCUUAACAGCACUACUUAUCCCCUUAUUCUUCCUCAUCGAUUCAUUAACCAUCAUCCAUUCAAUGGCCAACUAAAAACUAUCCUAAAAUCAACAAAAUACCAUGAAAAAACACUACCAAAGGCUCCUCCAAAAUAGUCACAAAAAUCUGCCAUGAAACAGCUCAAAAUCAGACAUCAAAAUAAUCCAAAACUCAGUGAAAGUCAGUCUGAAAUAGGAGUUCAAACACAACAUAAAUCCAGCAAAAACGCACCAAAAACUGCCUCUACAGGAGACCCGAAGCAGCUCCAAAAACACUCCAAAAAGGGUGGAUGUUAAGUGAGGUAUCCGUUCAAACUUCGACGAGGUUUUUCGGGCGAGUUUUCUAUCUCAGUCUAAGGUUAGUUUCCAUUCUUGUUCAUUUUCUAAUAAUGAUUGUCGAUGUGCUUACAUUCUUUCCUUUAAUAUACUGAGGUAGUUUUUUUUUUUUUUUUUUUAUUUUAUUAAGAGUCCAAGUCUCUUUACUCUUUUCUUGAGUUCUUAUUAGUCAUCUUCAAUCUUUUAUUUGUUAUUGUACGAUUUAAAUUUCGCGGCUAAUUCUAUUGUUUGCACAACCAUAUUUAGAUUAAUGUUUGGUUAGUUAUGAGUAUAAGUGUAGUAAUCCUAAGCCUUUUUGUCAAUUGGGUGUAAUGAUUCAUAGUAUUUCGUUAUUAAAAUGCCCUGUCCAUGUACACCUUUAUGUGUCCG
rnacentral:lncRNA from 1 species